rnacentral:rRNA from 1 species
AACGAACGCUGGCGGCAGGCCUAACACAUGCAAGUCGAGCGCCCCGCAAGGGGAGCGGCGGACGGGUGAGUAACGCGUGGGAACGUUCCCUUUGCUACGGAAUAGCCCCGGGAAACUGGGAGUAAUACCGUAUAAGCCCUACGGGGGAAAGAUUUAGCGGCAAAGGAUCGGCCCGCGUUGGAUUAGGUAGUUGGUGGGGUAAUGGCCUACCAAGCCGACGAUCCAUAGCUGGUUUGAGAGGAUGAUCAGCCACACUGGGACUGAGACACGGCCCAGACUCCCACGGGAGGCAGCAGUGGGGAAUCUUAGACAAUGGGCGCAAGCCUGAUCUAGCCAUGCCGCGUGAGCGAUGAAGGCCUUAGGGUUGUAAAGCUCUUUCGUGGGGGAAGAUAAUGACUGUACCCCAAGAAGAAGCCCCGGCUAACUCCGUGCCAGCAGCCGCCGCCG